rnacentral:misc_RNA from 1 species
GAUGAAGAACGCAGCGAAAUGCGAUAAGUAAUGUGAAUUGCAGAAUUCAGUGAAUCAUCGAAUCUUUGAACGCACAUUGCGCCCGCCAGUAUUCUGGCGGGCAUGCCUGUCUGAGCGUCAUUUCAACCCUCAAGCAACUUCUGCUUGGUGUUGGGGAUCGGCCGUCAAACGCCGCCCCCGAAAUCUAUCGGCGAUCUCGCUGUAGCUUCCUAUGCGUAGUAGUAACAUCUCGCAUCUGGAGAGCGGCGCGGUCAUGCCGUAAAACACCCAACUUCUCAGGUUGACCUCAGAUCAGGUAGGAAUACCCGCUGAACUUAAGCAUAUCAAUAAGCGGAGGA